CGAGUGUGUCAUUGUCCCGAGAAAGCAGAGUAGCGCGCUUCUUGGCCGUUUCAGCAGAACGACUGGCUCCCUCCACCUGGACACGCCAACGCUCCGGGAGUGAUCUUCCCUGGGGACGCCGCCUGCACCGCAGGCGAAGCCCUUGGAGCCGUGUUUGCUGCUGUGAUCUGCCAACUUGCCGCUGCCGAAGCCCCGGCUGGUUGCACGUCUUCGUUUAUCCGUGGAUUAUUUCUGGAGUCCGUCUUGUAAAUGUUUAGCAUUUUGCUGAUUUACUGCUUCUUUCUGGGAGCGUUUCCAGCGCUUGCCGAGACCGGCGGAGAGAGGCGACUGAGCCCGGAGAAGAGCGAAAUAUGGGGACCAGGGCUAAAAGCACAUGUCGUCCUCCCCGCCCGCUAUUUCUAUGUUCAGGCGGUGGAUACAUCAGGGAAGAAAUUCACAUCUUCUCCAGGUGAAAAGGUUUUCCAGGUUAAAAUCUCAGCACCAGAUGAGCAGUUCACUAGAGUUGGAGUCCAGGUUUUAGACCGAAAGGAUGGGUCCUUCAUAGUAAGAUAUAGGAUGUAUGCAAGCUACAAAAAUCUGAAGAUAGAAGUUAAAUUCCAAGGUCAACAUGUGGCCAAAUCUCCAUAUAUUUUAAAAGGGCCAGUCUACCAUGAGAAUUGUGACUGUCCUUUGGAAGACAGUGCAGCCUGGCUUCAGGAGAUGAACUGCCCAGAGACCAUUACUCAGAUUCAGAGGGAUCUGGCACACUUCCCUACCGUUGAUCCGGAAAAGAUUGCAACUGAAAUCCCAAAAAGAUUUGGACAGAGGCAGAGCUUGUGUCACUACACCUUGAAGGAUAACAAGGUUUACAUCAAGACUCAUGGUGAACAUGUGGGGUUUAGAAUUUUCAUGGAUGCCAUACUACUUUCUUUGACUAGAAAGGUGAAGAUGCCAGACAUGGAGUUUUUUGUUAAUUUGGGAGACUGGCCUUUAGAAAAAAAGAAGUCCAAUUCAAACAUCCAUCCGAUCUUUUCCUGGUGUGGCUCCAUAGAUUCCAGGGAUAUUGUGAUGCCUACCUACGACCUGACUGACUCUGUCCUAGAAACCAUGGGCCGAGUAAGUCUGGAUAUGAUGUCUGUGCAAGCUAACACUGGUCCUCCCUGGGAAAGCAAAAACUCCACAGCUGUCUGGAGAGGGCGAGACAGCCGCAAAGAGAGACUCGAGCUGGUUAAACUCAGUAGAAAACACCCUGACCUCAUAGAUGCUGCUUUCACGAACUUUUUCUUCUUUAAACACGAUGAAAGCCUCUAUGGUCCCAUUGUGAAACACAUUUCAUUUUUUGAUUUCUUCAAGCAUAAGUAUCAAAUAAACAUUGAUGGCACUGUCGCGGCUUAUCGAAUGCCGUAUCUACUGGUCGGCGACAGUGUUGUGUUGAAGCAGGACUCUAUCUACUACGAGCACUUUUACAAUGAGCUGCAGGCCUGGACACACUACAUUCCAGUUAAAAGCAACCUGAGUGAUCUGCUAGAAAAACUUAAAUGGGCAAAAGAUCACGAUGAAGAGGCAAAGAAAAUAGCAAAAGCAGGACAAGAAUUUGCAAGAAAUAAUCUCAUGGGCAAUGACAUAUUCUGUUAUUAUUUCAAACUUUUCCAGGAAUAUGCCAGUUUACAAGUGAGUGAGCCCCAAAUCCGAGAGGGCAUGAAGAGGGUAGAACCACAAACCGAGGACGACCUCUUCCCUUGCACAUGCCACAGGAAAAAGUCAUUCAGUCAGGCAGCAAGUAUUUGAGUUCCUCUUGAGGCCUCCAAGCAAUUCAGUUUGCCAGAGAGACAGAUAUAGUAGACAAUAACAAUGCACAAGAAAGGGCGUUGAAAUGCAGUGAAAUGAGAAGACACAGUAGCUCCCUGGCAAAGACCAAAGAUGAACUCUGAUAUGCAAAAUACCUUCCAUUCAAAUAAUGGUGCUCUGAAGACGCUUCUUAACUGAAAAGAAGAGUGUUUUUUAAGUAUUAAUUCCAUGGACAAUAUAAAAUCCGCUGUGUGAUUGUUUAGAUUAUGAAGAUAUGUUUCUUCUUAAUAUGCAGUAUUCCCAUAACUGUUCUUUAAAGCACAUUUUUAGAAUUUUAUAAUAAAACCACCUUUAUUUU